rnacentral:rRNA from 1 species
AGCUCCAUUAGCGCAUAUUAAAGUUGUUGCAGUUAAAAAGCUCGUAGUUGGAUUUGUGGCGUACGGUGUGUUCCGGGCACUUGUUGUCUGAGUAACCUGCUGUUGCCAUCCUUGGGUGGAACCUGUGUGGCAUUAGGUUGUCGUGCAGGGGAUGCCCAUCAUUUACUGUGAAAAAAUUAGAGUGUUCAAAGCAGGCAUAUGCCAUUGAAUAUAUUAGCAUGGAAUAAUGAGAUAGGACUUUUUUGCUAUUUUGUUCGUUUGCACAAAGAGGUAAUGAUUAAUAGGGACAGUUGGGGGUGUUCGCAUUCCAUUGUCAGAGGUGAAAUUCUUGGAUUUUUGGAAGACGAACUACUGCGAAAGCAUUUACCAAGGAUGUUUUCAUUAAUCAAGAACGAAAGUA